rnacentral:rRNA from 1 species
CCUACGGGAGGCUGCAGUCGAGAAUCUUCCACAAUGGGCGAAAGCCUGAUGGAGCGACGCCGCGUGCAGGAUGAAGGUCUUCGGAUUGUAAACUGCUUUUACAUGGGACGAAGCUCUGACGGUACCAUGUGAAUAAGAGGUUGCUAACUCUGUGCCAGCAGCAGCGGUAAUACAGAGACCUCAAGCGUUAUCCGGAUUCAUUGGGCGUAAAGCGUCCGCAGGUGGUCCUUCAAGUCUCGCGUCAAAUCUCUGGGCCCAACCCAGGGGCUGCGCGGGAUACUGUCGGGCUAGAGGAUGGGAGAGGUAAGCGGAAUUGCCGGUGUAGUAGUAAAAUGCGUUAAUAUCGGCAAGAACACCAAAGGCGUAGGCAGCUUACUGGAACAUUCCUGACACUCAGGGACGAAAGCGUGGGGAGCGAAACGGAUUAGAUACCCUUGUAGUC